CCACACUCUUUCUUACAGGGCUUCAGGCUUCAUUGCUGAGACAAGCUCUAAAGUUCGAAUUCCAACUAAGAAAAUUUUGGCUUACAAAAUUCUUCAUUUCAACUCAAGGAAAAUAGAAUUGACAAAUCAAGAAAAUCCCUGAAAUUUAAGGUGUCUUUAUUUCUGAUGACCCAGCUUUUUGGUAGGAGGGAAACUGCUUUCACAGAGGAGCAUUGUGAUUCAAAACUUUUAACAAUGAAGCAGCACAGGAAGCUUAAAGUUGAGGUUGAUGGUGCUAGUUCCUGUCCAAAGUGAGAAAAAAGGUAAAAGCAAUCCCUGUGCUAAAGAACUCACAAUCUCAACAUGCAAAAGGAGUCAGAAGAUGAACACAGACAAGAGGCAGGAGUAUCAACAGAGCACUAUGGAUCAGCACAGCCUAAGCCAGCAGUUAAGAUUUCAACUAGUGAGAAGCAGUGUCAGAGAAAACAGUUUGUCUGAAUCCAGACUGCAUUUUAAGGAAGAUGUAAUUGGCCCCAGAAGCCUCAGAUUCAGUUGUUGGACAGAAAAAGAGUAACAGCCUGAUUUGGAAAGUUAUUGGCUGGUGGCUGUGUUUGCAUAAAGCAAGUAGUGUCAACUUGCAUUGUCCAGUGUUGAGGAAAAAAAACCUUCACAGAAAAGGAAGGUAGUUUGCUCUUGUGAGUCAUCAGGAGCUGGGUGCUGAAGGAAGGAGACAUUCUUGAGGAAAAAGUUUCUGGCAUGGGGAGAAGCAGUACUGUACUGUGGGUAUGGUUCCACUAGGAAAUUGGGUAUGUGCCCUGUUUUUGUGUUCUCAGGAGGCUGCGCUCCCUAGCAAAUGGGUAGUGACAGUUUGUUGCACUGUUUCAGGUUGCUUUAGCCACUUCAAGCCCUGUACCUGGUGUGUGGGUUUAAAGAAGUUUGAAUUUGCUUAAAAUUCUACAACUUUUCCCUACAAACAACGGUUAAGUUCUGGGCCAGGUACAUCCCUAAUCCAAAGGGGCCUUCUGUGAACUCCUCUGAAAUUUCUGGUUCAUGGCUGUUUUCUCAGGAAUUAUUUUGUAUCCUGUUGGUCUCCAGUUACAGGAACUUCAGUACUAUGUGGUUUUUCAAGGAAAAAAGCCUAUGGUGAAGGAACACUCAGAAGAGCACCAAGCUUCUUUGUGGGGUCCUUUGAGGAACUCCACUGCAAGAAAACAAAAAUGUUAUACCUGAAUGGAGUGAUAUUUUUCUACUGGGUCUUAAUGCUUUACCAUCUGCUUUGUCUGCCUAUUUCAUUUGUGAAGGGAUGUUUGGCAUGAGCACCCCAUUUCAUCACCUAGGAGGGUCACCACAUGGUAUAACAACACGUGGUAUAUAUAACCUUUCGUUGACUUCUAUGCCCCUGCCACUCUAGAAUAUAUAUACAUACACACAUAUAUAUAUAUGUAUGAAUUUUGAGUAGGAGUAGCCAAGUUAGACUACUCUCUUGCCCUCUCCAAGGUCUGCUGCAGAGCAAAUGUCUCCCUGCUCAGACUCAACCCCAAGAGGGCCCCCACCUCCAGUAGAAAUGUCCUGGGACCCAUGCCCCGACCUCCAACUAAAUGUUCUGGGCAGCGCUGGUUUGUCCUUCAAGUGUGAAGCCAGCAAGGACUCUCUACCACAGUUUUUGAACACAUUUCCAAGUAUGGCAGGGUGCAGUGGCAGGCACAUAAUAGGGCUUUUGGCAUGUAUUAUACUGUGCUCAACAACUCCACUCUCUGAUCCAAACAUGCCCACCAAAAAUAACUUCAGUGAACAGCUUUUAUUUUAAUUAUUCCAGUGUGGAACUCAUGAAGUUUUGCCAAAAAUCUGGCUUGUAAAGCUUUUUGUACCUAAGCACAGAAACCCCUAGUGUGUAGUUAAUCCCCCACUGGGAUUUUCCUGAUCCAGUCACAGGUCUAUUCUGCAACCUCAUCUUUCUUUACCUAUCACUUGCUGUCUCUGUUCACCCUACCAGCUCCUUAAAUUCUUGCCCUUUCUUGCCUUCUGUGAGUGUUCUUUCCCAGCUAUCUCCUCUAAUUUUCUCUAAUUUUCUUUCCCGGCUAUCUCCUCUAAUUUUCUUGUUCAACUCCACAUUUAGUGGUGGAUGGUGUUUUUUGGUGGUUCCACAGUAGUCCUGAUCUCUGCAAGGAUUUCAGUGACAUCAGUAUGUGGACUCCUCUCUCCUCUCUUCAUUCUCUCUGUCCAACCUAUUACAUGGCAUAAUAACCAAAAAGCUGCACUUUUGCCAGUGACUUGCAAACUUGCCUUUUCCUAGAUGAUCUGUUUCAUUUCAUCACUGAGGCUCUUUUCUUCCAGUCUCCUUCCCUUCUUCCCCAUGUAGCAUGUGUGUAUACAUUUUUAAAUGUAAAAGUCAUAAAGCAAACAUAAGAAAAAGGGAUGUCUCUGUGGUGUGGUGGGACAAGCUACUGGCCUGUGCAGAACACUUCCAGUGCUUGAGAGGGCUGACUAUGGUAGUUACUCUCUCAUCUCUAUGCUGGAUUAUUUAUUUAACCUUUUCUUCAUCAAACCCUAAUUUGCUUUGUGGGGAAAUACUAGCAAUUUUGGGUAGUAGUAUUUAAAGAAGUACUUGCUGUUAUUUUGUAAAUAACCUCAGAUGGUUAAUGAAGGGUCCCUCUAAGAAUAUUAAAUGUGAAGGAGAAAAACAAAAAAGGUGUGAUUGAUGUUCAGUUUUGGUUGGGUUCAUUUCCUAAGCAUCACAAAAGAGAAGGAAAAGGUGGAACUCUCUAGAGCAGGAUAACCUAUAGCAUGAUAGGUGGGGAAAAUACAGGUUCAGAUGCCUGGAGGGAAGUAAGCCCAGCUCUCCUGCAGUCUGAGGGAGUGCUCUGGUUGUAACACAAUUGCUGAAAGCAAGGCUGGCAGCAACAGCACCCACUUCUUUACUGUUUUGGUGGAGGAGGUCUGGCUAGCAGUGGAGGAGGAUGGUAAUCCCUGCCUUGAGAUAGGUGACCAAAUUCCAGAGAGGCUUAAGCUAAUUCUAAUACCUCCUGCAUUUCCUAAUGGCUCACUUGAGCAGCUCCUGCUCAGUCUUCUGUUUGAGAUGCCUGAAUUCUCUGGUUCCCAAAUCUCUGGAUCCCAGCAUGCAAGCACACUCCUGGAAGUCAGGAGCUGUGGUUUUCAGCCAUGUAGGGCCUAAACAUUGCUUGCGUCCAGAACAAAAUAUUUGUCUGUGUUUAUGUAAAUGCUUAGCUUUACAGGGUCUGUGCUUGCUUACCUUGAUAAGUGCUGCUAAAAAUAUCAAUAUGGACAUUGUGACAUUUAUGUGCAACAUUCAUAUAACAUCUGUUACACCAUGCUGGAAUUUAUGGAGCAAAACCACGGGGAAUGUCUUUGCACCAGCUAGGAACUGACAAGACAUAUACUUUUGAAAGAACCCCUUUGCAUUCAGGAUACUUUGCAACUGCUGUUUAUUAGCAUGAUACGCUGUGUUUGACUCAGCCUGAAACACAGUAUAUAAUACUGGCAUUUUCAUUUUGUCUCACAUUUGGAGUGUGAUCUGGUUCUGCUACCGUAAGUUUCUGUGCCUAUGCAGUGGGGAAUAUGAAAUUGGGGAUUUUCAAAGGUCUGAAGGUCCUUCAGUGUCAAAUUACUUCUGGAAUUCUACUUCAGCACUUCCAUAGGGCCCCAAGUGUUCUUGGCAGUUUACAAUAGUCCUUGUCCCAAAGCAUUUAAAAUACAUUUCAGAUGUGCUGAGAAUAAUAAAUCUAGAAGAAGGGAGAAAAAAGGAAUGAAAUAAUCCAGGAUAUAGUUAGCGUAUCAGUGAUUAUAUGGGUACACUUUAAUUUAUUUUUAAGGCUUGGAUGGAAGGACACAUCACUUUUAAUUCUUUUUUAUUGACUUACAUUUUGACAGUGUAAGGAAUGUUUCUAGAAAUCAGAUUUGAAUUACAGGGUUUCACAUGAACUCUGACUGUUUUUGAAAGAAAGAGUUGCAAACACUAGACUUCAUUAUCCUGUAGGAAGACUAGAAACAAAAUGGUUUAUUCAUCUUCUCCUCAUCAGCUACUCUUUUCCAAAUAUAGUGAUGCAUUUGCCCAUCUCUGAUUGAGAGUGUAGAUAACUGAUAAACUUUUGCCUUAUGGUUAGUGCAAGGAAAACAGAACAUAAAGUUCUGCUUUAUUAUAAGAAGAGGGAUACUGCAACAUUUGAGCAAGAAUCAGCCAGAAGCUGAUAAAAAACCCCCUAAAAACAAAAAUUUGAAAAAAAAAUCUGAAAUAAUGGAAAAGAUUCUUCUUUAAAAAUUUAAAACUUUUAAAAAACAACAACCAUGGAUCAUGUAGAUUUGGUGCCUACUCACUGGAACGUCACCAAAUCUCACUUGUUUUGCUUGGGCCUCACUCAAACAUAACUGGCCUCAAGCUAGUAAGCAAGCCAGCAAAUGUCCUGGCUUGUAAAGAAAUCUGAUCCAACCCUGUAAACCAAACCCAGCCUAAGAGCAGUGGUGAGGGGAACAUAUGGAAAAUUAAUGACAGAUAAAUAGAAUGGUGGGACAGCCUUAAAGUAAAGAUUGUUGUUGGGUUUAUGCAACAAUGCCAGCGAAUGGUUUUCUGAGUUAAGAAAGUUACAGAGUAUCUCAGCAAUGUUUUUGACUUUGUCAGCACUUAAGCUCUAGAAAGGGCUGCUGUGAUUCUCCUGUCCCAUUGCACAUUCUUAAUUGAUACCUGUAGCUGCUGGUUCAGCUGCAGCAGCACUUUGGGAAGCACAGAGAUCCUGGUCCCCACCUGUUUAAAUAAAUGAGCCUCAGGAAGAGGAGUGCAUUGGAUUUUCCUUGGGCUCAAACUGGGCAUAACAGCAAAGGCCAGGCUGAGAGAUAGAAGCCUGCCCAAGCACUGGGAGGAGGAGAUGAGGGUGGUGUGUGUGUGUUUGCUUUUUUCCUCUGCAGACCCCCAGGCAUUUUGCAGAGAUAAGGUGCUUUGUAUAUGAUGUCACUGAUGGGGAAAUAGUCCCAGGGAGCUCAUUGUUUCACAACGCCUCUCUGGUGAAGAAACUGGAAAUGGAAUUAAUGGAAAAAAUUAUUUUGGUGAAAGUGUAUGUAUUUCUGGAAUACACAAAUCACAUAUUUAUUUGGGUGAUGGCCUGGGAUGCUCAUUUAGGGCAGAUUUUGAAAUGUGACACCUUAGAGUAGCUAUUUUGUACCAAGAGAAAAGUGAUCCCUUUCCCCUCAUUUCUCCACUUUUGUUUUAUUGAAGACCAUCUAAAAUCCUACAAUUCUCCUGCCUGGACACUAAAAUGUCUCACUCCUCCCGUGGCUGCAUCCAUCCUGCUGAACGGGCAAAUGUUAAGGUUGAUUUGCUCACUGAGAGUCCCUUUAGGCCAAAAGUUGUGCAAUUCACCUGUUCAUUUGGGUGUUUAAAAACUCUUGUGCCAUUCAAUAUACUUAUUUUUUCUUCCUGAACCUGUUGCCUCUGAGCCAACACAGUGACUCAGGACCCUUCCCAGAAAAACACUGGGGAGGCUGUGGAGAGACCCAUGCUCACCUCAGAUUCCUGAAAAGCAGCCACUGAGUGUCUCUGAUGUCAGCUUUAAGCUUCUCUCUCUGCUCAGCUGAGAGGACAAAUGGAUUUUGCCAAUAAAAGCUGUUCAGAAUGAAAUGAUCCCAUCAUCAAAAUACAUUCAAAGAAAGGAAGAGUGAAGGAAUCCAUAACAUCAUGAGAGCUGCAUGGUCAACUCAUGUCACUUCUGUCACCCUGCUGAAUGCCACGUCACACUGCCAAUGCUUGGAAGCACUGACUGCUGGCUUUUGCGAGACUGGAAGGAAAGGAAGACCUGGACACAUUGACUACAUCGAAACUAUUAAACAAAAUUAGUCAGAGAAUUUUCCUGGAGACCAACUGGCAUGAAAUAGCUUGAAACCAUGCAGCUAAACUCUCUUACCCUCCAAAUCAUGGUGGCCACAUCCAAAAGAUCUACUGGAGAUGGUGCCUGACCUGGGUCAAUGUCCAAGCUGUGCUUUGGCAUUGUCUGGAAGAGCAUUAGCAGGCUUGCACCAAAACCAUGCCAGGGACCAGUUUAGUAGUAUGGAUGGUUUUGGGCCCAUGCCUUGCUGGUCUUGUUUAGUUUAUUUAAUGUCAGAGGGAAACCUCAGUAAUUCUGCCAGGAGUCAACAGGAAACACCCUUCUGGCCUCAGCAACCAGAAGCUGCUGAGAAGUAUAAUCAUUAGGUUGUUCACCUCCUUCACAUUUGGAUUCUUUUUCUCAUUUUAUUUUUUACCAAAUGAGCACUGAAAAUAUUUGAAAUUGCAUUGAGUAAUAAAAUUGGGUUACUGCCUGCACAAAACUUGUUGGUUUUGAACUACCAAGAGAUUUUUCACACAGGCUGAGCUUCUGGAAAAGCCAGCUUCAGCUCUCCUCCCUGAUGAAUGGUCUCCUAUGGCUUUGAGCAAGUUGCUAAGAGCUUGUGUGAUCAGUGCCCUGUUUGGAUAUAGGGGUAAAAAGCAAUGAGGUGCUGAGAUACAAACAUACCAUUUGCUUGAGGUCACAUAAGCGUGCUGAACUGAUGUGAACAUAAAACUCCCUUUGAUUUCUGUGGCAACUUAUUUCACAUGUUUGGGAAGGCAAUUUAUUUUAAACCCUGCAAAAAGGACAUUGAGUACAUUGUUAUAUCAGGAUCUUUUCAAAGUCAGAGCUCUGGGGCUGGGUUUGGAUAGGCCUGAUAUGUCCUUCAUACAGUGGGAGGUAGAUAGUGGGAGAGCUCAUACUCUGUGUUUCUAGAGCUAACUGUGCAAUGGUACCCUGAUUAUCCCAUGGAACACUGUACUCCACAGUUCUGUGUUAUACUUCUGCCUGCAGCAAUAUAAAUCAGAAUCAGGCAAUUCAUGCCUGAAUCCUUUUCUCUAUUCUGAAGAUAAAUGGCAGUGAAGGCAGAGUAGUUUUAAAGAGUUCAUCAUACAAAAUUAUUGUAUUAGGCCAUGCUGUAUUACUGAGAUUACAGAAAAUUACCUACGUGUAUUGAAUUAAACCAUGAUUUUCCAAUGAUCUCAGCAGCAGCAGAACUGGGACAAUUUAAUCAUUGCAUUAUCAGUUUGCACUCUCCCAUGGAUGCUUGCAUAUGGCAGUGGCUCUACUCAGACCUACUGAGACCAGUGCAUCAGUUAAGAUUGAAGGAAGAGAGUGGCAGCCCAUCUGUCCUUGCUUAAAUAACUAGAUUACUGGUGGUGGAUGGAAUGGAAUAGCCACAUAGCUCUGGAAAUGGAAGAGUAAUGCUGACCAAAUAAUCAUGCCAAAGUCAGAGAAGUACUAUGCAUGUGCAUGGCCCAACAUGUCUACCUUGCUCCCUAACACUGCAGGAGGAUGGGGAUAAUUCUUCUGUUUGCAACAGAUCAGUUACUAUCCUGACAGAUGGAAUUCUUGACUCUUCCAUUUGAAUCUGUCUCACACGUGCUGUUCCAGAUCACGUUUAUAGCGAGCAGAACCUCAGACUAGAGGAAAUAAAGCAUCAAGUUUGAGCUCUGAUGUUUCAUUGAUUUAGCCAAGUUCACAGAAGCCAAAUAUGUCUGAGUUUGUUCACACAGCUGGAACGUAAAUAACAACACAGGAUUUCACAGAAACUUCUAAGUUGACCUGCAUUGCUUGAGAAAUUGGUAAAUCAAUCCAUCUGCCAGAGCAAGGUGCUCCUAACAUGACACAACCUCAGGCAUUGGUGGAAACUUCUCUUUUGAGGGGAUUCUGGCAGUCAUCUCUAUGUCGAGUUUUCAAACCAUACCCAGCAAGGUUAUGCGGGUCUGGCUUUUGACCUUGGAGAAAGCAGGCACCUUGUGGCUAAACUUACUUAACAGGAUGUUCAGUGAACAUUAGAGAUCUGCUUUAACAAGAGAUGUUAAAGAAUGAGGGUGGCAAGAGUAGGAUGAAGAACUUCGGGCUGUGCCCUUCCCUGCACAGCUUGAACUCUCCUUGUAUUUAUCUGAAGCAGAUGUUCCAGGCAGGAUACACGUUGCAGCCAGAGGUGAGGAGGGAGGUGUGCAGGACUUGAAUACAUUUCACUACAGCUCCCACAUCCUGUUUACACAUAGCUGCUGGCCUGAGAACAACGUAGGGAAUAAAAAAAGGAAGGUGGAGGGGGGUGUGAUAGGAAGGAAUGGCUGAUGGGAGCCGUGAUACCAGCGCCACUGCCGGGUGUGUGUGUUGAGAGUGCCGGAGAUUUGUGGUUCUCUUUGCCUCGGCCUUUGCCAGCAACAUUUUCUCCAUGACUUUGGCAGGCAUUGAUAGACAUGCUGUCUUCAGUCAUAGGGGAGAGAAAAGGAAGAGGGGGAGCAAUUUGUUGGAAAAAAAGAAAAAAAGGCAGCUCACCUGCAGAGAAACUAUACUUACUCUCAUAUUCAGCAAUGCUGCUCAGACUCUAAAAAAACACAGCUGGAAUCACUGAACCAACUUUUCUGUCUCAUUAAAAUCUUGGACUGAUUUUUAAUAGUAGAAAGGCACUUAUUGAAUCACUGGUGGGCAAUGAGAAAUACUAAGAAAGCUAAGGCCCAUUUAAGCAGUCAGCCUGCUGAAGGAUGGAUUUUGUUCAGGCUGGAUACUUAUUGGCAAUUUGAUUUCUACACACAUAGAGCAGAGAAGGGCCCUCUUUUCUGUGCACUGGAAAUGCACUUUCAUUUUAUGUUUCCCUUUCAACUCAUUGCACCUAUUCCAAAUCAUCCACACAAAUUCCUGUCUAAUGGUAGGGAGAGAAUGAAGAUGUGUACAUAUACUCUCUGGGGUUUUGGUUGUUGUUUUU